rnacentral:rRNA from 1 species
AUGCGUAAGAAUUGGAAGGUGUGGGAGGCCCUCAAGAACAACGCAUGGAUCCUCAAGAUCAAUCCAUCCACCUCUAUCUCCGACGAGGAUGUCACGCAAUUCUUCACACUUUGGAUACUCCUUGAUGAGGUCCAUCUUGACGAACUCUCCGAGGAUGACAUCCUUUGGAAGCACUCGGUCUCGGGGCAUUACUCAGCAGCCUCCGCAUAUAAGGCACAAUUUUUAGGAUUGGUUCUCUCCCCCAUGGACAAGAUGGUUUGGAAAGUUUGGGCUCCACCAAAAGUCAAGUUAUUUGCUUGGUUGGCUCUCCAAGACAGGAUUUGGACCGCGGAUAGAUUGGCAAAGCAUGGGUGGCCAAACUAUGAUCUUUGCCCCCUUUGCAAGAGGGAACAAGAGAGUGGGAGUCACCUAUUGUAA